rnacentral:rRNA from 1 species
UAGCAUAUCAAUAAGCGGAGGAAAAGAAACUAACAAGGAUUCCCCUAGUAACUGCGAGUGAAGCGGGAAAAGCUCAAAUUUAAAAUCUGGCGGNUCUUCGGCCGUCCGAGUUGUAGUCUGGAGAAGUGCUUUCCGCGCUGGACCGUGUACAAGUCUCUUGGAACAGAGCGUCAUAGAGGGUGAGAAUCCCGUCUUUGACACGGACUACCAGUGCUUUGUGAUGCGCUCUCAAAGAGUCGAGUUGUUUGGGAAUGCAGCUCAAAAUGGGUGGUAAAUUCCAUCUAAAGCUAAAUAUUGGCGAGAGACCGAUAGCGAACAAGUACCGUGAGGGAAAGAUGAAAAGCACUUUGGAAAGAGAGUUAAACAGUACGUGAAAUUGCUGAAAGGGAAACGCUUGAAGUCAGUCGCGUUGGCCAGGACUCAGCCUUGCUUUCGCUUGGUGCAUUUUCUGGUUGACGGGCCAGCAUCGAUUUUGAUCACUGGAAAAUGGUUAGGGGAAUGUGGCACCUUCGGGUGUGUUAUAGCCCUUGGUCGCAUACAGUGGUUGGGAUCGAGGACCGCAGCACGCCUUUAUGGCCGGGGUUCGCCCACGUUCGUGCUUAGGAUGCUGGCGUAAUGGCUUUAAACGACCCGUCUUGAAACACGGACCAAGGAGUCUAACAUGCCUGCGAGUGUUUGGGUGGAAAACCCGAGCGCGUAAUGAAAGUGAAAGUUGAGAUCCCUGUCGUGGGGAGCAUCGACGCCCGGACCUGAACUUCGGUGAUGGAUCUGCGGUAGAGCAUGUAUGUUGGGACCCGAAAGAUGGUGAACUAUGCCUGAAUAGGGUGAAGCCAGAGGAAACUCUGGUANGGAGGCUCGUAGCGAUUCUGACGUGCAAAUCGAUCGUCAAAUUUGGGUAUAGGGGCGAAAGACUAAUCGAACCAUCUAGUAGCUGGUCCUGCGAG